CGGGUGAGUAACGCGUAAGUAAUCUGCCCUGGUAUCUGGGAUAACCCACCGAAAGGUGUGCUAAUACGGGAUACGCUGAUUUAUCAGGAAAGGUGGCCUCUUCAUGAAAGCUACUGUACCAGGAGGAGCUUGCGUACCAUUAGCUAGUUGGUAGGGUAAUGGCCUACCAAGGCGACGAUGGUUAGCGGGUCUGAGAGGAUGAUCCGCCACACUGGAACUGAAACACGGACCAG
rnacentral:rRNA from 1 species